rnacentral:lncRNA from 1 species
GUUACGUGCCCCUUGUCCACAAAAUAUUACCAAAAGUGGAAGUGGCCAACAAGCGCGCUAUAUUUAUCUGCUUCUUUAUUGGACAACUCACUGACGACGUAACCCCGCUAAACUCGAACAUGAACAAAACCUCCGCUGCAUAUUUUAGCACCUUGACCAGAGAUUCAACCAGGCAUGGUAAUUGAACUGUAUUCUGCUUGUUUCUUUUGAAAGGCUACAUUUAACAGGUGACUUCUCUAUAGUGCGAAAUGGAUUAUCAACGCCAUAAUACCUCAUGUCCUUUGAGAAUACUUUGCCUUUUUAAUCUGGUAUCCUCUGUAUUGUUGUCCAACUGUCCUCAUAUCUGUGACCCAGGCAUGGGCUAAUUGAGUGACUGCUGAUGCACAACCAAAUGUCGAAAUUGUACCUUGUGUAUUCUAUUACUGAGUUCUCCCCCCACCUGUCCCUGAUCAGCCAGUUGCCCAUCCCUGAUCUAGUGAUUGAUCAUUCAUUCUACACUGUCAGAAACUGGCACUCUGGAGCCUGUGAUGAAACGUCAUGGCACAGGAAGUAGCUGAGCACAUGCAGUAUAUCGUUUUCUGUGGAAUGUGAUAUUGGUAGAUAAGGAAGCCAUCGAUGACUUUUGUGAUAACUGAAUAGUCUGUCACAUCAUUGGGAAUAGAUUUGGGGAGAUGCCCUUUAUUUCCUAGCCACAAAUGCUGCUUGUUCCUGUUUUGACCCACUGACAUGCAAAUAAAUGACCUUUAGAGAUGACAGACACAGUCAGCUCUCUGUGUCCGUGUGAAGGAGAUACGUCUGUCACAACAGAACACAUUUCCAU